GAAAGAGACAUCAGAGACUUCUUUCUUUGUGCACAGAGGAAAGGCCAUGUGCAGACACAGUGAGAAGAUGAGCCUCUGCUAACCAGAAGCAAAGGCCUCACCAGGAACCAGCUUUGUCAGCACCUUGAUCUUGGACUUCCAGCCUCCAAAACUGAGGGCUGAUCAAGAACUUGUUCUACUAAAAUGCUUAGCUUCUCCAUGUUCUUGGAUUUUGUUGUGCUUGCAUGUGAUCCAUUGAAAAGGCGCUUCUGGAUUUUAUUGUAGAGUACAAACAGAAAACAUAAGAACAACAAUAAAAAAAUGGUCCUAUUUGUAUCCGAGUCUACCCCAUGACUCAAGGAAGAACUUCCAAUGGAAAAGGCACUGGUCCAUAUCGGCUGCAAGAAAUUUGUUUAUAAUGAUCAAUUCAAAUGAACAAACAGUGAUUGAAUGCCAAUCGUCCGAAAGAGUCUGUGCUAAGUGGCAGCACGCAAAAUGAGGAACCAGAUUUUGGGUCUGCCUCUCGGAGGCUCAAACUGCAGUGGAAGAGAGAGGAAGAGAGUGGGAGAGGGAA